GCGCCCGUGGAGGAUCCAGCAUCGCCCAUUGAAGGCAUUACGGGCUGCAGGGCGUUGUACGGUCUCGUGAUCAGCAAUUUUGCUGAUUCAAAAUCAUUC
rnacentral:sRNA from 1 species